UUCUUGUUCUUCUUCGUUAUUUCCAACAACUCCGUCAUUCUCAAUCGCCUCCACCACUUCUAUCUUCAUCGCUCACUGUCACCAUAAUCUUUGCUGCCUCCACAAAACCAGCAUGACCACCUCCGUCGUGUCCACCACGAUUAUAAGCAGAUCUUUUACGAUGUGCUUUCGAUUUCAAAUGAUUACAAACCAGAGGAAGGAUUUUAAUUUGAUUUUGGAUUUCGAUUUAAUAGUUUCCAGUGGAUUACGAGUUAAAGAUUCAGAUCCAGUGAGUUUGAUCUUGAGCUUUGUUCAUUCUGAAACUCAAAUUGGUAAGAUUUAAUUUUAGGUUUUGAAAUUUGAAAUUUCUGAAAACUAAUUUAGGUUGUUGCUGUUGCAUGUGUGAUGCUAAUGGAUGUCAUAGUGGUAGCGGUAGGUGUUGUCGCAGUACGAAAUUGUUUGUUUAUCAUUUAACCAUUUAUUCAAUACCAAAAUACCAAAUUGUGGUGUUGUUAAUAACACUUCACAAUCGGAUCCAAGUUGACCCCAGGAGAUGUCUUGGGAUUGCACUUCGUUGAGGCUACCAAAUUCAAGAUUGGUGAUGAUGAAUACAAAGUUGACAUGCAGGAGAGGUAAUGAUACUAAUGUUACAAAUUAAGUACAUGAAUAUGUUUAAUAGGAACAGUAUAAAAGAUUUGUGAAAAAUGAAUGAUUUUUGUUUGGGUCAAGUUUUCCCUUACCAAGUCGAAAUUAUUCUGGUAGUAUGCUUUUUUACUACGAUGCAUUGAUGCAAAUGUGUUGUUAAUGCCUGCAUAAGCACACCAUCAAAAUUUAAUCCAUUGGUUGGCCAACAACGAGACAACUAUUAGUCUGAUUUGGUUGUUCUAAACACCGUUGCGGCUAGGAGGAAGCAUAGGAUGAUGUUGGUAGAUGCUGCAAUAAAGGUGGAGGUGCUGGCAGUGACUGAAAUGUGCAGUAUAGAAGUGAAAAUGGAGUUGUUGGUGUUGUUUUCCAUGAAUCUGAAAUUGCAAGUUUGGAUUGUUGUUUA